rnacentral:rRNA from 1 species
UUUAGGGACAUACACUGUUUUAAUCUAGCUUUAUUGUCUAAACAAUCUUGAUGCUUGAUGGAUAACUCGGAGUCCCUAUAUGCUACAAUUCUCAUAACUAAGUACUACCCUGAUAGUGAUUUGCUAAUUGUCCCAUUAAAGAAGAAGGCAUCUUACACUUGGCAAAGCAUCAUGGAGGGGGUGAAAACACUCAAACUGGAAUAUGUAUGCCGUGUUGGAGAAGGACAAAACGUUAAUAUUUGGAAAGAUGCAAAGGAUCUCGCAAUCCCCCGAUAG